GACGAACGCUGGCGGCGUGCUUAACACAUGCAAGUCGAACGGAAAGGCCCUGCUUUUGUGGGGUGCUCGAGUGGCGAACGGGUGAGUAACACGUGAGUAACCUGCCCUUGACUUUGGGAUAACUUCAGGAAACUGGGGCUAAUACCGGAUAGGAGCUCCUGCUGCAUGGUGGGGGUCGGAAAGUUUCGGCGGUUGGGGAUGGACUCGCGGUUUAUCAGCUUGUUGGUGGGGUAGUGGCUUACCAAGGCGUUGCCGGAUAGCCGGCCUGAGAGGGUGAACGGCCACAUUGGGACUGAGGGACGGCCCAGACUCCAACGGGAGGCAGCAGUGGAGAAUAUUGCACAAUGGGCCGAAGCCUGAUGCAGCAAGGCCGCGUGCGGGAUGAAGGCCUUCGGGUGGUAGACCGCUUUAGCUUAUGACGAAGCAUGAGUGACGGUAAUGGGUAAAGAAGCACCGGCUAACUACGUG
rnacentral:rRNA from 1 species